UAUACAAAGGUUCUCAAUCCUUCAUACGUCCAGCCCGUGCCAAGCACUAGGGCGAGAACCAUUACAAAGAAAAACAAAAGAACUAGACGAGGCUAGUCUAAGCUCUCAUCCUGCUCGCCGUCCCCUGUUAAGGAAAACAAAACUAAAGGGGUGAGCUAAAAGCUCAGUGAGGUUCCGAACAGAUAAUCAAACAAUCAAUUCAAUACAUUAAACAUGGAGUAUCAAUAAUUCAAGAAACAUUUACAAUGGAAAGCGAUAGUAACAUUCAUUAAAAGGAUACGGGCUCACAUGGAGCUAUUCGUUCGUUCGUUCGUUCCCCUGACAUUUCCCCUUAUUCCUCCAAUUAUUUGAAAAUUUUCUUUUUGAGAAGUAAACCCUCGUGCCUUCGUUCGUUCAUUCAUCCCCUUCCGGACGUUGACCGGACUCCACCCAUCCGGACGUUGGCCGGACUCCACCCAUCCGGACGUAACCGGACUACAAGGUAAUACUCGAGUAUACCAAAUUCACCCAGGGUCACCAUAUCGCCCGACCGAGUCCGCUUCUGGCUCGAGUCGAUCGGUAACGAAGGGCAGGGCCCAAUUCAGCCAAACAGCUUACAUUCAUGCGCAACUAGCAUUUAAUCAUUAUUCAUUGAAAAUUUCACAUUUAUUUAGGUCGAGUGCGAUAAAGUACACACUCGCCUAGAAAACUCGUUUUAACAAUCAUUGAAAGCACUUAACACAUUAUCAAUCAAUAAUAACAAGCCAAUAAGUCAAGGAAUAUAGCAAACAAGGAACACUCACCUAGUUAUGCAAUAUAACGUGCAAAAUAUCCUUCCGAAUAUUACCCUUAGUCACCAAUGAAACCUAAGAUUGAACAAGAGAACAUAUUACAGUUUAUCGAGCAAAACAUUUAAGGGGAAACGAAAAAACCCGACUAAUUAGGAGUAAAACGUGUAAAGAUAACUUUCAAGUAAAAAGAGGGUUGUUUGGACCCAAGGAUGAAAAUAACUAGGGUUUCAAAAUCAAUCGCAAAACCAAGCUCAAAAGGCUUAUAGAAUUCCAACGGAAAACAUUUGACUAACGACAAAUCAAAAGACAAAUAGAUAGGCUAAGAAAAUAUUCUUUCAGAAUCGUAAAGAAUCGUUUGUAUGACUAAAAUUCACUAUAUAUUCAAGUAGAGGUUAUAUAACAAGGGUUUUGAUGAAAAUCAUAUGGAAAAGGAAGACUCUUAAAACCGUACUUGAAAGUAGUUCACUUGUGGUUGAUAAAACCCUAACUCAUACUUCUAUAUUUUGGGUACGGAGUAAGUAAACAUUUGGCGUUUCAAAUUGAAGAGGUAUCAUGUUAUGGAAUGGUAAAACGGUCAUAGUAUUUUCCAAACGAAAAUAUACAAAUUCAAAUAGAAACUUAGUCCUUGAGCGAAAAUUUGGGCAGCACGCCCUUUGUGUUUACCUAAUUUUCCAGCCAUUUUGGCUUCAUUAUUUUUCUCAUUCAAGCCCAAGUUUAUACACAACACAAAUGCAUUUCAAUAGCCGUUCCAUAGGCUCAAGACAAUACAAGGACAUAAAUCAACUAAUAACAAAUGCGGAAAUGAAGUUUACAAAAAAAAAAACAGAUUUGAUAGGGUUUUGCGGAAUGGGCACAUCCAAGGCUACGCUUAUUGGAUUGAGGUGCAACUUAUACCAUUUCGAAGCUAAGAGAAAGGGCUACAAUAUUGAAGAAGGUCACUCAGUCCAGUUUGUAGUGAAACUAGGUCAAAAGAUCAGUAUACCAAACCAGCACCGUCAAAACAGGUUUACAACCCGCAUUCUGGCUCAAAUAUCAUAAGUCAGGCUCCCUAAGUCCAAAUCAAGUGAUUCCAAAGCCAUCUGAAAGCUAAGAUACAAGGCUACAAUUCUUAAGAAGACAUAAACAACCAAAUCAGAAGAAUUCCCAAUCAAAUUAUCCAAUUACAGAGGCAAUUAUCAAGUUCGGGUAGAAACAGGGCAGCAGGGGUAAAUCGGUCUUUUCACAGGAUACGUUACUUCGAUUCAGCUGAAAUUUUGUAGGCACCUAUAAAAUAUCAUUCUAUAAAACUUUCAUGUUUUAUGCCAAGCCUAAUUCGGCCUCUAACUAUGAGUAACAGUACCGGGCAGAACUGAAACAUGAAAUUCCAGAAAUCUGGAAAUUUUGGUUUUCAAUUGAAUUUUCUUCCUUUCCUUGUUCCAAUCACUAUCAAAGCCCCUUAUAUAAUCUUAUAUACAACAUAUACUAACCAUACAACAAGUUUAGGCAGAAAAUCGUCAAACCCUAACUUGCAUAUAUCAUCCAAAAUCAUCACAACAACUUGUAUAACUUGUAGUCUAAUCAAAACAUGAGCUAGAUAACAUCUUAAACCAAAAAUUAAAAGAACAAGAACCAUGAUCAGAUCUUAUACCUUAAAACAAAGCUUGAAAGAGUGAUACUUCACCUCCUUUGGAAAUUUUUUAGUUCCCUUAGCUUCCCAAGCCC
rnacentral:lncRNA from 1 species